ACCAACUUUGUCAAUUACAUCAGGUGCUGUAGAGGUCGUUUAUAGAGUUUUGCAUUGAAACUAAUCUUUGAAAAUCUCCUUUGUGUAUACUGGUAUAUCUUACCGGAACUAGUAAUUGUGAACAAUUUACAACGCCUGUGGAUUCAUCAAGCUGGAUGCUAAAUAUUGUAAAAGAAGCAGAUAUCAUUUCCUUAAUAUCAGAAGACAUGUCAACUAAUCUCCUGUAAAUAGUGUCAUUAUUUAUGCAAAUUACACUAAAUUUAUUAAUAAAUUUGGCUCCAAUCAUAUCUUUAGCCACUGACAAUAACUGCUUGGUAGUGGUGUGAGGUUUCAGAACUCUGGCGAUUCUGACAGCUACCAAACAAGAAGAUUCAUAGGCUGAUAUGUUUCAAUUAUGGUACUUGCCAUAUGAGUCUAAACCAUCUAAACUAAACCACUGUAUGUCAUAAUUGGCAAAGUUCGGAUGUUUGUUCGACCUCAAUACAUAUGGCAGAGAGAACUUCAUUACAAAUGUUGCAUCGGGUUUCUGCUAAAACUAUACCGCAAAAAAAAAAUAUUAAAAAAUCGUCAUUCUCUUUUAUUUUAUUAACCUUCUUUUGUUACAAGUCCGUGUUCAUGAGUUGUUACAUAAUGAACUUUUUUCCAUUGACUAUAAUACGAUGGCGUAUUUAUUAAUUGAAUUUUCUUCACUACGUGAUUAUAUCUUCACCAAAGAAAUGUUUGAUCCCACAAUGGUGUUUCGAUGCAUUGAUAGACAGUAAAUUUAUUUCUUGAAAAAUAUAUUUUGCAACAACAAAGAUGUGGUCUGUAACAUCGAUUUUUGAAUGACAAUUAUAAAAAAAAAGAAACACAAAGAAGAACAAAUAAAAAUAACAAACUACUAUCAAACAAGGAUGUUACAUUCACUAAAAGUACCCUCUGUAUCGUCUUGCAAUAUAUAGGAAAAGUGAAGACUGUGUGUGGAAGUUUGCCAGAGGCAAGCUUUGGAUUUCUUUCAUAGAGCAAUACCUUUUGAUAUCAUUCCAACACCUAUAGCUGUGGUGAGACUAUUUCGAGGUCUCAGGAAUGUAUUUCUUAUCAAUUGGUAAUCAUGCAUCACAUGCCCUCAGAUAUGUACACAAAAUGAAGUUUGAGGAGAAAGAGAAAGGAUCAAGAUGAUUUACAAGACACUAAAGUUAUCUAUCAACUAUACUCAAUGUAUGAAUGACUUGCAGCCAGACUAGAAUUAUAGAGAAAGAUGUUUUUCUGCUGGCUAAACAUGUAUGGGGUCUGUUCCAUCACAUCCAGUCAAUAAAGGAAUAAUAUCUAUGAUGUCAGACAACAAUAAAGAUCCAUUUCUGUAGAAGAAGAUCUCACUACCAUGAACACUCUAGGGCUAGGGAGACAUGAACUACAUGAAGACAAUUUUGGGAUGGAGGAAACCACACAGAGACUUCAAUGGGGAACAAAAGUCAAAUGGAGUGUGUUCAAAGUUAGCAUUCAAUUCUUGUCACUCAAUUCUCCAUGAUAUGUUUACAGGGAGACUAAACAUUUUUGGACAUGAUGCCAUUAAAAUGAGAAAAUAGAGUGGAAGAGAGUCCAUAGUUUGUUUUGCUCCCUAUUCAAUAGAGAACAAAGUUAAGAUUAGCGAUGGAGAUAAAAGGAAUCUCUAAAACAAUAAUUCUUAUCAAAAUCCAACAAUCUCUAUUCAAACUAUUAAUCUAAGCAGUAACAUGACAACUAUUUGAAUCAAAGAGUGAAGGUCACGUGAGGACAGUUUUCAACACUAGAGUUACAGUACUAGUCCUCGGUGGAAUCAAGGAGUCAUUAAAGAAUCAUUCUGGAAGAUCAAAUCAAUACAAGCACUGAACAGCAGACAGGAAUGGAAAAUAUGGCCAACAGAUCUUGUGUGGUGCCCCAAUGGUCAAACAACUAAGGGAUAGAUAAUGAUGCAGAGAAUUUCCUGGUGAUCAAGAAUUAGGAGCUGCACACAGUUUAAUGAAACUAUAUUUUAGGAACAGAUAGAAAACAAAGAACUGCAGCAAAGAUGGCCUGUUUUUAUUCUUCUUCAUAGCAAAUCAAAGGAAUGUACAUGCUGCUGAUAUAGAACAAGUUUCUGACUGCUUCCAGAUCAGUGUUCUUAGUUCCGCUAAUGAUCUACUAUUGCACGAUAAAUAAGCAAAGUCCUGAAAAGCCUGCAGAAUCUGGGAGCACACUUUAGUUAAUAAGCAGGGUGUCAUAUGGCCUGCACAAUGAUCAACAGUUAGCAGUAAAGACAUCCUUCAAUGAAGCAGCCCUAUUUACGCCAAGAUAACAAUGUCUUUUUUAGUACUGUAUUGUAUAUUAUUUUACACCUUAAUUGGUCAGUGUAAAAAAAAAACUAAGUGAAAUAUUUUUAGAGCUAUAUCGAGUAUAAUUUAUUUUUUUAGAAUCCAAUGUAGAUAAUUUGUUUUUUUUAAUGGGAUUGUUCAUGUAAAUAUUUUUCACAGAGUUAAAGUAAAGGCAUUUUCUGCAUGGAUAAUAAAGGUGUUAUUAUUAAUAGUAGUAAUAGUAUUAUGAAAUAAAAACUAAAGAAUUAUGUUAAGACAUAUUUUAUAUGGAAGCUCUUUAAUAGCAUUCAACUAAUUACAUAAUUUACUAGUAGGAAUACUUUAAGUAUGCAGUAUAUUUGCUACACUGUAGCAAAUAAAGGCCUACCAUUAAAUAUUAAAAACAAAAAUAAAAAAAAAAAUGCCUUAUAAUAUUAAUAGCAUUGUAACUAACUAAAAGCAAUUAAACUAUUAUUUAAUACACAACAACAGUAUUGACCAUCACUGUAUUAGUUCACAUUGUCACAUUUUUAAGCUUAAUUGAAUACUAUAUCAUGUUGUAACCCUAUUGGCGGCGCGAAAGGGUUAACUGUAGGUUCACUUGACACAAGUGAACUCAGGCAAUGGACAAGGGACAGUACUACGAUGACACGCAAAUAUGACCAAUGUUAUGGUCAUGUGAUCGAAAGCCUGCGUGGACGAGAGACACAGUGUGUAAGAAAGCGACAGUUCAAGACCAGAGAGCGUUGAGACCGGCACUGUUAGUCAGCCAUGAAGUCGGUCCUGGUGCAGUCCUCCAGUGAAACGUACGAGUCCAGGAAGAGACAGUAGAGUUAUGAGUUUAGUACAAUGAUAUACAGUCUAACAUUGUAGCAGUUGAUUGUGUUGCCAAUUGUGUCAUAUUGGCUGUUUGAUUUGACCAUUAUUAAAGUACCAGAUUAUUGUG